rnacentral:rRNA from 1 species
CUGGCCGUAAACGAUGAAUGCUAGGUGUGUGUGUAGAGAUACAUGCGUGCCGGAGUUAACGCGAUAAGCAUUCCGCCUGGGGAGUACGGUCGCAAGAUUGAAACUCAAAGGAAUUGACGGGGGCCCGCACAAGCGGUGGAGCACGUGGUUUAAUUCGAUGCAAACCGAAGAACCUUACCGGGGUUUGACAUGUACGUGGUACGGAUCUGAAAGGUGAAGGACCUUUUCUUCGGAAGGGGAGCGUACACAGGUGC